CAGCAAGCGCGCAUGUGGGUGGCAAGCGGCAGCAUGGGCCGGAUGAAUGGCCAUGGUGGGCUGGAUCCAUCCCGUGAGCCAUAGUUUGAGGACCCGUGGCUUGCCCAUUAGAUCAAGCUUCUGCUCCUGGAAAUCCAGAGGCAUCAAAACAACUUUGGUUUUACCUGGCUGCAGUGCCACACUUGGCACUAAUUUUAAGAAUUCCUUGGUUUGACCCUUCACAGUCCCUGGAUCACUUGAUCCUGAGGAGAGAUGGUUUUUGCCUUGGAAUACUUUUCAUCACAUUGUUGGCCUGAGCAGGUGUGUGGGAUCACUACUACUUUCGCAAAGCCCUACUGCACUCUUGCUUCCUCCCCUCGACUCCAGAGAUACCUUCAAGAAAAGCUGAUUUGACGACAGGUUCCCAGAGUCCUGCAUGGAAGACUGACAUCAUGUCAGACCUCCAAGAAAAAGAACCAACGUGGCAGGUUGGGUCUGGCUAUCUAUCCAGAUGGGCAGGUCCAAAUGCUCGGCUUUGAUGUGUUCCUUCCUCUUAGGUAGGCACUGAGGAAAAGUGUCCCUGGAAAUGCAUCAGGGAACUCUGAUGUAGCCACUCACUUGGCAGUAUCUGCAAGGGUGGGAGGUGGUGGGAGGGGAGCAUACAACUUGCUGCUUCUUACACUUCACUGCCUGGAGAGGAAUCAUGCUUCUAUACAGGAGGACAACCCUGAACCUUCAGCAGCAUGCUAUGGUGAACAACAUCUUGAAGAGCAAGCCACUCAAAUCUGGUCUGAUCUGGACACCAGUGAAUGCUGUUACACUGGAAACAUAGCCAGAGCACCAGCUAGUUUACUUUUACUGGUUAAUUGCCAGUUGUUGAGGUCUCCCUAAUUCUGGGGUUUGUACAAACUAUCCCCCCAGUCACUAAUACCAACAUGCUUGAGACAAGAAGCAGUUGCUCUUGAUGGAGGUGUUCUUAAAAUAUGGUAAGCAGUAUGCAAGUCUCUUAAAUAGAUGAUAAAUAAUAGGGAGGAGAUGUCAAAUUUGGUCCAGCAGAUUUUAAAUUCCAACUUGAUUUAGUGGCUGCACCAGCCUCUUAAAGAAUUAAAGAAGACAGCAAUUAAGCCACUUCUGAAGAAGCCUAAUCAGGAUCCAGAAGAUGUUGACUACUAUAGACCAGUUGGUUUAUUGCAGAUCUGCCCUGGCCAUUCUGUGGGGUGACCUGUGCUGAACAAAGGGCCAGGGAAAGUCUCUUUAGCCUCUCAGCAGCUUUCUGUACCAUCUGGUAGGCAUACCAUUUUGAUACCUGCUCUCUGGAUAGGCUGUUUGGGUCAGGAGUUGAAGGUCUUGAGUGGCAGUGGUUCUGCUCCCACUCAGGGGUUACUGGGAGCUCCAGCUUAUCUCCUAUCUUCAAGAUCUACAUGAGACUGUUGAGAGGGGUUAUCUGGAGUGGUGAACUGAUCUGUCAUGAAUAGGCAGAUGACACUCAGCUCUGCUUACAGCUCUUCAGUCUGGAUACGUGCCAAAUGUGGGCAUGCUGGAUAAGGGCUAAUAAACAGAGAGGCAGAUGGGCUGGUUGAUUACCACAGAGGGACAUUUUCAGUCCUAGCAUCCUGGCUGUGGAAUGGCCUCCACAGGAAGGUUCACCUGCCCAUAUGAACUGGCCUUUUCUAUGGCAGAUGCUACUGCAGUCCUUCAGUGUUUGUUAUUUUAACAUCUGUUCUUGAAUUUUUGGAUUUUUAUACUGAUUCUGCCUUUUACUUUGGUUUUAUUGUGCAACUUUAAACUUUUAAAAGUUCUACAAUAUGUUUUAUUUUAUUGUAUUUUAUAGUGUUCAUUGUUGUGACCCCAGCACUUAGCCACCAGGUAGUAUAGAAAUGGAAAGAAUCAGAAAAUGGAAUGGAAAGAACUUUUCAUACCUCAAUGGUUACAUGAAGCCAUCGACUCAGAACCCACAAUGAAUUACAUUUCUUUUCUGACCACAGCCAAGCACAAUGACCUCUCCUCUGGAGUGGCCCAUUGCUUUCUUCCUUGUUUCUCCCCACCAGAAACCCUCCCAUGUGAUUCCUGUGGUCCCUCCUUCCUUCCUGGAUUUGGCGCACCAAGCCUCUUGUACUUGAGCCAAUGAACUCAAGUAUAACACCUUUGCACUUGUCAGCUGGAAUGGUGCGGGGCAUGCUGGGCAAGUGCUUACAGGGCUGCCAGGCCAACCCGCUCUCUUCCUGAGCCUAAGAAAGCGAGCAGGAUGGGGUGGCACCCUCAUGAUAGCUCACUGCAAUCAUGCCCGUGCCCAUCACUGGGAUCCAGACUGGGAGAUGGGGACAGGGGCAGGGGGGGACAAGCACCAAGAGGGCUGCAGAACAAAGCCUUGGGAGGCUGGUCACAUGCAGCCUGUGGGCCACACAUGGGACCACCCAGAAUGCAAUUUAGAUGAGUGAGUGAGUGAGUGAAUGAAUAUGCAAUUUAAUAUGCUAGGGAAAGACACUAGAGAGCUUUAAAGUGUGACGUGUACAGUGAUUAGUAAAAGCAGAUUAUCUUGUUUGCAGGAAAAAAAUGCAGAAAAGCUAAAAAGAAUAGAGUCAGAAGAGUGCCUUUUUGAAACAGAGUCAAAAGCAAGCUGAUUCGCAGCAGCAGCAGCAGAAACAUCUGUUAUAUUUCUGUGUAUCCAUGGAGUUGAGCUUCCAUAAAUUGAGAAAUCAAGAUGUGAGUUUGCAAGGGCACAAACGCAUGAGGUGUAUGCCUGUCAAGACAAAAUGAGUGAAAGCUCCAUAAUAUGGCUCCCACUAGAACAGAUUUGGAAUCGUCAAGGUCAGGAAACCAUGUUGCAAGUCCUGCUCCUCAGAUUAUGAACGUACCCUGCACAGAAGCCAUCUUUGAAGCAUCUUUUGGAGCUACCUACAUGCUGCAUGUAUGUCCUGUUUACCUGAAUAAACUUUAAUUUUCUUUGACUCUAUAUCCCCAGCAGACUUGCCAUCACUGUUUCUUGACACUUCUCACCCCUGAUCCUACAACCAGCCAAGCCAGAAUACCAUAUGGGGGCAGGAGUCACCGUAUCUCGUCCAUAAGUUAGCUGCAGUCCCUAUUGAAAGCUGGGAGGCCUUUUGAUUGCAAUGUAAACCGGAUACAGUGUCAGCUCCAGCUUCUUCAGUGCCUUUGGGCAAGAGGCCACAGUGGGCCCCUCCCCACUGCUACUGCCACCAGCUGUUAAUUCUCCUCAUCCUGUUUCUCUGGCUUGCUUGACAGGCACAGAGAUGGUCAGUAAGGCAACAGCCACAUCUGCUGCUGCUCUUUCUCACCAACAGUGUUGUUUGGACCAGCGCAAAGGGCGGGGAAGAAGCAGGCUGCAGUGAUGAGGAACAGAAAUUUGGAGAGACUCUUGUCAAGUGGACCCCUUUGUAGGGCCAAAUUACCCCUGUGCUUUCUGCCAGACCUGAUACCCUCAUCUGUGUUGUGCUUAGCAGGCAAUCUUGGUGGAGACUGGAGAAGGUGGGGGCCUUACUGAACAAUCACCAAAACAAUUGCCAAGCCUGAGGAUUAGCCUUAUGCUUUCACUGCACUGGGUCUUGGAAUGGAAAUGCCUAAUAUCCCAAAUAUGCAAGUCUUCUGCAGAAGCUUAAAAGCAAGAUAGGACAGAAUAGCCACUUGAAUGGCAUCAAAGAGAGAGAGAAGGGACAUGCAUCAGUAAAGAAGGCAGCAGAGGGGACAUUGCUUUGCAUAAAAUGAAUAUAUGUUGAUUCAGAUGCACAUCUUGAAAUAAUUACUGUAAUUUAACCUAGAAAUACAGUUUGCGGCUAGGUGCCAAUUGUUGACAGGUAAUGUCAAAGGAAAGAAUGUUUGAUAGAGGGGGACUUAACAUCUGAGCUGAGCACUUCCACUUGUCUUACCCUGGGGAGUCCAGUAACACCUGCCACCUGAAGACCAGUGAGUGCUUAGUGGAAAGACACAAAAGCUGGGGGUAUCUGACCCUUGAAGGACUGGCUAUUUCCCUACCCAAGGUGAGAGAUGGGAGAGCACAGGUGAAAGAAAGCUGGAGGGAAGGAAGGCUACCAUGGUGGAGUGUCCUUUACUUAUAUACUGUAAUACUUUUGUAUUGUGCUUUAUUCCGUCUCCUGUUUAGUAUUUAGCUGUUGGAUUCAUUUGGUUUAUCUACACUGUUUUAUUUGCUAUUUUAUGUGCUCAUAUUUCUGCUAUGUAUUCAACUGCCACACUGCAGUUAUUUGUAACUGUUUUUAUUGCAUUUGAAUAUUGUUAUAUUUAUAGCUGUUUGAUAUCAGGUAAAUUAUAUUUACUGCUUUUCAUUUGCUAUGUUGUGAGCUGCUUUGGGCACAAUUUUCUGGAAAAAUGGCGCACUAAUAAAAAGAGGUUGAUGGUGGCCUGUUUCUU